GCCGGGGUGGUGGAACGGUAGACACUGGGGACUUAAAAUCCCCUGGGCGGCGACGCCCGUGCGGGUUCGAGUCCCGCCCCCGGCACC
rnacentral:tRNA from 1 species